GAUGAAGAACGCAGCGAAAUGCGAUAAGUAAUGUGAAUUGCAGAAUUCAGUGAAUCAUCGAAUCUUUGAACGCACCUUGCGCUCCUUGGUAUUCCGAGGAGCAUGCCUGUUUGAGUGUCAUUAAUAUAUCAACCUUCACUUGUUGAAUGGUUUGGAUGUGGGGGUUUGCUGGUCUCUUAAAGGGUUCAGCUCCUCUAAAAUGCAUUAGCAGAACAAUCUGUUCAUUGGUGUGAUAACUAUCUACGCUCUUGAAUAAGAUGCAGUUCAGCUUUCUAACUGUCCUCGGACAAUUUAUCAUUUAUGUGACCCCAAAUCAGGUAGGACUACCCGCUGAACUUAAGCAUAUCAAUAAGCGGAGGA
rnacentral:misc_RNA from 1 species